UUCAUUACAGUUUAUUCGAGUAUUUGUCCAAAAUGAAUUAUUAUGAUUACAUGAUAUCCAAGAAGAAAAACGCGUUGAUGAUAGUGGCUUACUUAGGCUUUUUAAUGCAAACUAAUGAUUGUCAAUUUGUGGACACAGUUGUUAAUACUUCUUAUGAAGCUCCUUGGUCAUCCUUAACAUUCAUAUUUCCUGUCGCGCUUCCUUAUAACGUAUUGUGGUCAAACUGCAGACUUCACAGUAUUUAUUAUUGUCUGAAUUGGUUUAUUUCUGACCACGGCAAUCAAACGAGCCAAUCGUAUCACUACAUUGGAACCAGAGAAAGGUUUGACAACUAUGCCAUCAGACAAAUAACAAACGUAAAAAUAUCAGCCAAGAGGCAAUGUCGAAAAUUUUUUGAGCCUAUCAUCAGGAAACACAACCUAUUUGUAUAUCGCGAUGGCUGCUGCAUUCACCAUGGUCAAUAUUGUCACUAUUUCCGUUAUGGAUAUCAGGAGGCCAUGCUUACACCAACAGAAUAUUACAAAAAAAUUACUGACUACUCAGAAGAGGGAAAACAAUUGAAUUAUAUUAUGGCCUAUUACUCUUUGGAGUGUGAGGCAAACAUAAUCAUGAAAAUUGGAUUUGGUACUGGGAAACUGAAACGAGAUGAUCAGUUUACUGGUUUUCAUAUGCAAAGAUCGGGAAUUCCCUAUAUACUGAAAGCUGGCCAUCACUGGACGCCAAAAGUUCCAUAUGACAACCCUGGGUCUUUCAUCACAUUUUCAUGGUUCAAAAACAAUGUGAUAUGCGCUGAUCAACCCUGGAUAUGUGGAAAGUCUCAAAAUAUAUAUAGACGGACACGGCGGUGGUGGCAGGGCUUCUUUGGAAGAAAACCAAGUUUCGAAGUUGAGCAAAAUUGAAUACAUUUUUGCUCUCAUUGAAUUGUUUCUGAAGUUUGCUGUCCUUUUUUCUGAAUUGUGCGUAUGGUCAAUAACAAAAAUGAUCUAAAAAUGACACA